rnacentral:hammerhead_ribozyme from 1 species
GUACUGAUGACGAGUCCCAAAUUGGGACGAAACAGCUGUCCAGUAC